rnacentral:rRNA from 1 species
CCAGACUCCUACGGGAGGCAGCAGUGGGGAAUAUUGCACAAUGGGCGAAAGCCUGAUGCAGCAACGCCGCGUGAAGGAAGACGGUUUUCGGAUUGUAAACUUCUGUUCUUAGUGAAGAAUAAUGACGGUAACUAAGGAGCAAGCCACGGCUAACUACGUGCCAGCAGCCGCGGUAAUACGUAGGGGGCAAGCGUUAUCCGGAUUUACUGGGUGUAAAGGGAGCGUAGACGGCAGAGAAAGUCUGAAGUGAAGGCCCGCGGCUCAACCGCGGAACUGCUUUGGAAACUUUUCGGCUAGAGUACCGGAGAGGUAAGCGGAAUUCCUGGUGUAGCGGUGAAAUG